ACCAUAUUAUAUGUCUAGAGUUGGUGAUGCUGAGAAUCUAGUCAUAAAGGAAGAGGCCAUCUAAAGAGAAUAAAGGUUGUGUCUAUCUAACAACCUCACAUCCUCAGUAAAGUUAAACUGGUUAGAUUCUGGUGGCUAAGGACCUGAAGAGAAGGCAGUGUCUAAGAUGCAGAGCAUCAUAUGUGGGCGUAUAGAACCUCGAGUGCUGUGUUUGGAAAACUUUGGGCACGGUGUUAGCCUAUUAGAGACAUACAGGUCAGGGAGACCACAGGAGCUCUUACAGUCUGUGCUGCGUUGGGGUAGAAAAAGUGAACAGAAAGCCAAAUUACAUGUAUAGGUUUCAUUUUUUUUUUUUUUUUUGGUUUUUCAAGACAGGGUUUCUCUGUGUAGUCUUGGCUGUCCUGGAACUCACUUUGUAGACCAGGCUGGCCUCGAACUCAGAAAUCCGCCUGCCUCUGCCUCCCGAGUGCUGGGAUUAAAGGCGUGUGCCACGACACCCGGCUUCAUUUUUAUUUUUAACUUUUCGAUGCUUGGAAUUUCAGGAUUGUUGAACUGAGGCCUCACAUGCAAAGGCUUACCUUUUAGAUCCUUAGCCUUGCUGUGGAAGCAGUGCGAGUUUUCCCUAUAUUUCUUUAAUCCUGAGUGCUGGGAUUAAAUGCAUGUACCACUCUGUCUUUAAUCCUGAGUGCUGGGAUUAAAUGCAUGUGCCACUC
rnacentral:lncRNA from 1 species